GAUGAGCGCUGGCGGGGUGCCUAAUACAUGCAAGUCGAGCGAACGGACGAGAAGCUUGCUUCUCUGAUGUUAGCGGCGGACGGGUGAGUAACACGUGGAUAACCUACCUAUAAGACUGGGAUAACUUCGGGAAACCGGAGCUAAUACCGGAUAAUAUUUUGAACCGCAUGGUUCAAAAGUGAAAGACGGUCUUGCUGUCACUUAUAGAUGGAUCCUCGCUGCAUUAGCUAGUUGGUAAGGUAACGGCUUACCAAGGCAACGAUGCAUAGCCGACCUGAGAGGGUGAUCGGCCACACUGGAACUGAGACACGGUCCAGACUCCUACGGGAGGCAGCAGUAGGGAAUCUUCCGCAAUGGGCGAAAGCCUGACGGAGCAACGCCGCGUGAGUGAUGAAGGUCUUCGGAUCGUAAAACUCUGUUAUUAGGGAAGAACAUAUGUGUAAGUAACUGUGCACAUCUUGACGGUACCUAAUCAGAAAGCCACGGCUAACUACGUG
rnacentral:rRNA from 1 species